AGUGAACGCUGGCGGCGUGCCUAAUACAUGCAAGUCGAACGAACGAAUAAGAGCUUGCUCUUAUAAGUUAGUGGCGCACGGGUGAGUAAUAUAUAGCUAAUCUGCCUCUUAGUAGAGGAUAACAGUCGGAAACGAUUGCUAAUACUCUAUACUUCUGCUUUACAUAAGUAAAGUAGAGAAAGUUUUUCGCUAAGAGAUGAGGCUAUACUGUAUCAGCUAGUUGGUAAGGUAACGGCUUACCAAGGCUAUGACGCAUAACUGGUCUGAGAGGAUGAUCAGUCACAUUGGAACUGAGACACGGUCCAAACUCCUACGGGAGGCAGCAGUAGGGAAGAUUGCGCAAUGGGGGAAACCCUGACGCAGCAACGCCGCGUGGAGGAUGACACUUUUCGGAGCGUAAACUCCUUUUAUCGGGAAAGAAUAAUGACGGUACCCGAUGAAUAAGCACCGGCUAACUCCGUG
rnacentral:rRNA from 1 species